UACGUAGGGUGCGAGCGUUGUCCGGAAUUAUUGGGCGUAAAGAGCUCGUAGGCGGUUUGUCGCGUCGACUGUGAAAACCUACAGCUUAACUGUGGGCUUGCAGUCGAUACGGGCAGACUUGAGUUCGGUAGGGGAGACUGGAAUUCCUGGUGUAGCGGUGAAAUGCGCAGAUAUCAGGAGGAACACCGGUGGCGAAGGCGGGACUCUGGGCCGAUACUGACGCUGAGGAGCGAAAGCGUGGGGAGCGAACAGG
rnacentral:rRNA from 1 species